rnacentral:rRNA from 1 species
UACGUAGGGUGCAAGCGUUGUCCGGAUUUAUUGGGCGUAAAGAGCUCGUAGGCGGUCUGUCACGUCUGCCGUGAAAACCCGAGGCUUAACCUCGUGGCUUGCGGUGGAUACGGGCAGACUAGAGGUAGGUAGGGGAGAACGGAAUUCCCGGUGUAGCGGUGAAAUGCGCAGAUAUCGGGAGGAACACCGGUGGCGAAGGCGGUUCUCUGGGCCUUACCUGACGCUGAGGAGCGAAAGCAUGGGGAGCGAACAGG